AAGCUUUCUCAUUUAAUUUUUGAUUUACAGUCUCGGAAUUAUAAGAAGUAACAAUUACAAUCCAAUCGACGCUAUUCAUUCCAUAUGCUUUACGAACGUUACGACAUUUACGUAUGUAUUAUAACGUGUAGUAAAUCGCAUGUGGAAUGAAUAACGUCGAUUGGAUUGUAUAUGUUGACAAUG